GGGGGCACCCUGAUCCAGCCAUGCCGCGUGAGUGAAGAAGGCCUUCGGGUUGUAAAGCUCUUUUGGUCGGGAAGAAAGGGCCCUGCUUAAUACGUGGGGUCUAUGACGGUACCGGCAGAAUAAGCACCGGCUAACUACGUGCCAGCAGCCGCGGUAAUACGUAGGGUGCGAGCGUUAAUCGGAAUUACUGGGCGUAAAGCGUGCGCAGGCGGUUCGUUAAGUCUGAUGUGAAAGCCCCGGGCUCAACCUGGGAAUGGCAUUGGAAACUGGCGGGCUGGAGUUUGGCAGAGGGA
rnacentral:rRNA from 1 species